rnacentral:rRNA from 1 species
AUUGAACGCUGGCGGCAGGCCUAACACAUGCAAGUCGAGCGGAUGAAGGGAGCUUGCUCCUGGAUUCAGCGGCGGACGGGUGAGUAAUGCCUAGGAAUCUGCCUGGUAGUGGGGGAUAACGUCCGGAAACGGGCGCUAAUACCGCAUACGUCCUGAGGGAGAAAGUGGGGGAUCUUCGGACCUCACGCUAUCAGAUGAGCCUAGGUCGGAUUAGCUAGUUGGUGGGGUAAAGGCCUACCAAGGCGACGAUCCGUAACUGGUCUGAGAGGAUGAUCAGUCACACUGGAACGGAGACACGGUCCAGACUCCAACGGGAGGCAGCAGUGGGGAAUAUUGGACAAGGGGCGAAAGCCUGAUCCAGCCAGGCCGCGUGUGAAGAAGGUCUUCGGAUUGUAAAGCACUUUAAGUUGGGAGGAAGGGCAGUAAGUUAAUACCUUGCUGUUUUGACGUUACCAACAGAAUAAGCACCGGCUAACUUCGUG